rnacentral:piRNA from 1 species
CAGAUAAUCAGACUGGAGGAAGU